CAGCAGCCACGGGAAUACCGAGGGUGCAAGCGUUAAUCGGAAUUACUGGGCGUAAAGCGCGCGUAGGUGGUUUGUUAAGUUGGAUGUGAAAGCCCCGGGCUCAACCUGGGAACUGCAUCCAAAACUGGCAAGCUAGAGUACGGUAGAGGGUGGUGGAAUUUCCUGUGUAGCGGUGAAAUGCGUAGAUAUAGGAAGGAACACCAGUGGCGAAGGCGACCACCUGGACUGAUACUGACACUGAGGUGCGAAAGCGUGGGGAGCAAACAGGAUUAGAUACCCCCGUAGUCCCUGUCUCUUAUAA
rnacentral:rRNA from 1 species